CAAGGACGCACGUACCCAUCUGUCCGUUGCCUAAAAACGAUCGAAUUACGAAACUAUAGUGUUGAGUGCGUGUUGUGUAGUGCUGUGCUUGUGUGACCCGUGAGUGUUUACUUUUUGAGUUACAAAAAAACAAGUGACUAUCACCCGAGUGAUUUCUUCGGAUACGACGGAGUCGAGUUUGUGAUCGCUGGAUUUUAGUGUGCAAGCCAUACGUCUGGACGGCUGCCAAAGAUUUCAACUAAUCCUGCGUCGCUAAUCAACUAAGGUUAGUAUUAUCAUUUAAUUUGUCUAAG